GGGGUUGGUGGGCGGUGGCCAGGGGCAGUGGCUGGGGGAGGGGAGGCUCAGCCUUAGGGGUACCUCCUCCUGUCCCUAGCACAGGAGUCUCUAGUGCUUAAGAUCAGGAAGGGCUAUGAGAAGACAUCUCGGGGGAUAGUUAGCACCCCAUCUUGAGGUAUGUGAAAGCAGGGCUAUGCAGACAGAACCCGCUUAGAGGUUUUGGACAUAGACUUUCAGCCUGUGCUCUGGCCCAGCAGAGGCCCCUGCUGGGAUCAUCACUUUAGUGGGAAGGGGACACCAGCCCUUGUCCUGUCCACUAAGGCCACUUCACUCUGGCCUGUCUUUUGAGUGGGCUGAGAUGCUAAUUCUAAGGACUUCCUGUAAAUGAAAACUCUUGGGCUAAGACUGGGUUUGAAACUCCCCCAGGGUCCAGCAGGGAACAUAAAGACCUGGGGGGGCGGGGCGGAUGGAGGUGUCUGGGGUGAAUUGCAGAAGACCUUUCUCUCCCAUGCGGGACUUGUGGUUGGUUGCCACACGGUUGGACCCAGAAUGACUACAGUGCCCGCUUUGCCAAGAGAAGCCAGAUGCUGAUUAUUAAAUGAUAUUCUCAGAUUUCUUUCUUUUUUCUAUUUUUUUGCUUGGGGCUUUUCGGGGAGGGGUGGUUUUUAUUUCUUUUAUGAUUGUUAAGAUUGAACUGAGGGCCUCAUGCAUGUUAGACAUUCAGCCAUACCCCCAGCCCCCUGCUUUGAUUCUGAAUGUGCUAACUGUAAGAUUUUUAAAUCCUCACUGCAAGCCACACUGGACUACCACUGUUUGCCUGUGGCCUCUUUGUACAGGAGGCUGCAAGCUCCAAUUGGGAGCCGAGGUCUUUAGUACAUCUUUUAUGUGGCAGGUUGGCGUGGGAGCCUGGGUCAGAAACCAUGGCUGCCAGCCUGCCCUGACUGGAGCUGCAUCAGGGUGCCAUUGAUUCUCUGCCUCAGAAUGUGGGAGGCCUGGCCCCUAAGCUUCCUGUCAGAGUCAUCUUGGACUCAGGACUCCACAGAUGGCAGAAGUCAACAGGCCCCUUCACUCUGUCUGGAAAGACCUUGGCUCGGCAGAUCGGCAGAGCG